CUAUUUCUCAACUUACACAUGCAAGUCUCAGCGCACCAGUGAGAACGCCCUUCAAACCUCCCCACAGGUCAAGGAGCCGGUAUCAGGCUCAACCCUAUUCCCCUUUUGCCCAUGACACCUAGUCUCACCACGCCCCCAAGGGUAAUUCAGCAGUGAUAAAUCUUGAGUAUGAGCGUCAGCUUGACUCAGUUAGAGAAAAGAGAGCCGGCCAAUCUCGUGCCAGCCGCCGCGGUUACACCAUGGGGCUCAAGUUGAUAGUAUACGGCGUCAAGCGUGAUUAAAGUUCCAUUCACAUUAGAGUCGAAUUAACACUUAGAGGUGACAAUCUUGUUGUUAAGAAGUACAUAAACGAAAGUUACUCUAACUAAUUUACUUGAAUUCACGAAAGCUGGGGUACAAACUGGGAUUAGAUACCCCACUAUGCCCAGCCGUAAACAUCAAUUUACACUUACAACGCCCGGGUAGUACGAGCCAUGCUUAAAACCCAAAGGACUUGACGGUGCCCCAUCCACCUAGAGGAGCCUGUUCUAUAAUCGAUAUCCCCCGCUUCACCCUGCCAUUCCUUGCUAAUCAGUCUGUAUACCUCCGUCGUAAGCUUACCAUGUGAAAGAUUAUAGUGGGCCCAAUGACCCAUACCGCCAACACGUCAGGUCAAGGUGCAACUCACGGAAUGGAAAGUAAUGGGCUACAAUUUCUAAAAUAGAAUAAACGAAAGACUAUGUGAAACCCUAGUCAUGAAGGAGGAUUUAGUAGUAAAAAGAAAAUAGUGUGUUCUUUUUAAUCCGGCUCUGGGGCGCGUACACACCGCCCGUCACCCUCUUCGACAACUUUUAUUUAGAUUCCUAACCCAUUUUCAUUCCCUAGAAGAGAUAAGU
rnacentral:ncRNA from 1 species